rnacentral:rRNA from 1 species
CAUGUAGGGCGCAAGCGUUGUCCGGAAUUAUUGGGCGUAAAGAGCUCGUAGGCGGUCUGUUGCGUCCGCUGUGAAAACUCGGGGCUUAACCCCGAGCCUGCAGUGGAUACGGGCAGACUAGAGGUAGGUAGGGGAGAGUGGAAUUCCUGGUGUAGCGGUGAAAUGCGCAGAUAUCAGGAAGAACACCCGUGGCUAAGGCGGCUCUCUAGUACGGUACUGACGCUGAGACGCGAAAGCGUGGGGAGCGAACAGG